AUGCCACAGUUUUCUCAUCUGUGCACUGGGCUGACAAAAGUACCUUGUCUCUCACAGGACUGCUGGUAUAUGAGGGAAAUCAGACCUUCGAAUCACUAUCAUCUGGAGAAGUCCUUUGCCUUGUGGCAAUUUAUCAUUCUGGUGUUAUCCCCAGCUAUCCUGCCCGCUCCCUCCAUUCAGCUUUUCAUCAUCAUUUCAAUGCCAUUUGUUCAUCCUUUGCUAUUUUUAUUUUACAGGUGAGAAAACUCAGGCAAACAGGCUGACUUGCCCAGGGUCCCAUAAUUCAUAAAUGUCAGAGGGCUGGAUUUGAACUCAGGUCUUCUGCUUCUAGGCCCAGUCCUCAAUCCACUGAGCCACCUAGCAGGUUCCUGGUAUGUAGUAAAUAUUUAUUAAAUGUUUUUUGCCUUGUUGACUGACUGAAAUGCCUUUUCUGAAUGCCUCCUGAAAUAGAGCCCUCUCAAGUAACAAAGAAAAACAGUUAAACAAAAAGGUUCCUAUCUGAAUAUAGGCUGCUAGGUCAUGAAGUGGAUAGAAUGCUAGACUUGGAGUCAGAAAGACUUGAGUUCAAAUCCUCCUUUAAAUGCUUUAAUAGGGUUUCAACCCUGGACAAGUCAUGUAACUUCCGUGCCUCAGUUUCCUUAUCUAUAAAAAGAGG
ensembl:lncRNA